rnacentral:lncRNA from 1 species
AACACAAACCCAAAGUUGCUUAAAACGAGAUACAUCCAAUAUCAGUGUGUAUCUAGUCCUCAAGAUGGAAUGGAAAACGAUGUCAUUGUAGUCAAGCCUCCAAAAUUGCCAAGACAAACUUUGACAAAUCUUCUCGCUCUUUAAAUGAGCAUAAUAAUAAUAAGGUAUGUAUCUAUAAGUAUUUGAAGAAAUUAAAUAUUAACUAUAUAUCAAAAGGAGAAACUGAAGCCCGGUGACUGUUUGCAAAACUGUUAGUGAUAACAGUUGUUAGACUGACAAUUGAAGCCUGGAGUUGAGCAAUAGCCAAAGCUAGUUUAUCUUUGCUUUGACCAUCAGCUUCAUCGGUUUGAGUUUCGGUUGUUUUAAUUUCAUCAAGUUUUGGUAGCGGAUCCUCAUUUCUUGUAGAUGCAACUCUACCAAACUCUUCAUCAACGCUUUCAGCUGCAGCUCUACCAGAAAUCUUCUCUUCAUCAACGUUUUCAGCUUCCAUGACUUGCUAAAUCUCAGUCUUUAAUUUGUGUAUUUCAUAACUUAGGUUCUAUGUCUUCCUCCACAAUCUCUUUCUCAGUUUGUGUGUCUUCAUUCAAAACCUUAGACAUGUUGAGAGGCUGAAGUAGAAAACCCCUGAAAAAGCUAAAUUCUGGUUUAGAUUUAGGAGACUUGUAAUUGAUAUGUGCAAGGGCUGGACAA